rnacentral:hammerhead_ribozyme from 1 species
AUCCGGUUGAUGAGUCCCAAAUAGGACGAAAACAGCGUUAUCCUGGAU